AACGCGAAGAACCUUACCUGCUCUUGACAUGUCAGGAAGAUCUAAGAGAUUAGAUUGUGCCUUCGGGAACCUGAACACAGGUGCUGCAUGGCUGUCGUCAGCUCGUGUCGUGAGAUGUUGUCUUAAGUGACGCAACGAGCGCAACCCUUGCUACUAGUUGCCCCAAUUAAGUUUGGCACUCUAGUGGGACUGCCGGUGCUAAGCCGGAGGAAGGUGGGGAUGACGUCAAGUCCUCAUGGCCCUUAUGAGCAGGGCUUCACACGUCAUACAAUGGUAGGUACAGACGGUUGCUAAGCCGCGAGGUGGAGCUAAUCCGAGAAAGCCUAUCGUAGUCCGGAUUGUAGUCUGCAACUCGACUACAUGAAGUCGGAAUCGCUAGUAAUCGCAGAUCAGAAUGCUGCGGUGAAUACGUUCCCGGGCCUUGUACACACCGAGACGAC
rnacentral:rRNA from 1 species